GUUGGUGCGCAUGCCCCCCGCCGGUCCCUUGAGCAGCCGCUCUAGGCAGCGGGGAGGUCGCGCGGGGUCGAGAGCAUAAAGCGGUCUCUCCUCUAUGGUUGCGGGAGCUGAUCUCGGUCGGCCCGUAGGCCUAGGUUAUUUCCGGAAGUGAAGCCUGCCGCGGGGUCCUGGCGGGUGGCGGUGGCCGAGUGGGUCCCAGGACUAGUGGCGAGCACAUGCCAACCAGACCUUUAACUGUUCCUGUGGCAGCCUGCGUGCCAGCGUCUUGGAACCUGGAGCCAUCAAUUUACACUGAAGCCCAAGUCUCCUGGAGUCCAGCCUAUCUAGUGUGCAGGUAAAUUUUGAAGCUAGUAUCUCAUUGGCCAUCAAAGGACUGCUAGGAUUGUCUUGGUGAACUUGUGGCUAGCCCAACCUUCCAUGCUUCAUAUCCCAGUCAUCCUUGGUCAUCGUCCAGGAUCCGUGUAUAGAGGAGACGAGAUGUGGUCUAACAAAUCAUAUGAUGAAGUACCUCAGAAUGCCUCCAGUGAUGAAUCUGCCCUGAGGAAAACAAGAGAUGAUCUUUCUGCAAGCCGACAGCCUGAGUAUGGGGAUAAGAAAGACGACUUUAGAAGAAAAUGUUCCUCCUCUUCCCAUUAUUCAAAACAACAGUCUCCCCAUAAAGGGGCUUCUUGUUUUUCCAGAAAAUCAGGUAUAGAUGGAAAGACCUCUCCACAUAGCAGAUCUGGAUCCAGUGGAAGGCACUCUCCAAAACAAAGCAAACUGCAUUCUUCCCAUGGCUCAGAGCUUAGAAAGUCUAAGCAUGCUCAUUCCUCCUACAAACGGCGCAGUGAAGGAAGUAAAAAGAGGUCUGGCCACCAGUCUUUGAAAACAACAAGAGACACACACCCAAAAAGUUCUUCAGCUGUUCCUUCAUCAGAAAUGUUAAAAAAACUCAAAAGGUUUGAUGAAAAGGGACUUCCUAAAGCUGCAAACAGUCACACUGUAGAAAAGCCAGAGAUGACAGAUGAAAGUGACUUACCUAAAAUUUCUGAGUUUGAAGUUGGAUUCCCAGUACUUAUGGAUCAGUCACAAAGACCUGUGUCAAACAAAAAAGAUGACACAGAAUUCAUUGAUGACCAAGUAACCAAUCGCCGUAAAGCAAUAGUGUCAAAAACAAAGGAAAUUGAACAAGCCUACUACCAGGACUGUGAGACCUUUGGAAUGGUGGUGAAAAUGCUGGUUGAAAAAGACCCUUCAUUAGAAAGGCCCAUUCAGUUUGCCCUUAGGCAGAAUUUACAUGAAAUAAGUGAGCGCUGUGUGACAGAGCUCCGGCAGUUCAUUGCAGAGUAUGAUGCUACUGCUUCCUAAGAACAGCUCUAGCAGAAAGUGUUUCUUGAUUGUCAUUCCAGAAUUGUAUAAAUACUUCAUGUAUGAAAUUUUUGUGAUGAAAUACUUGAGUGUCUAGUAAACACCUGAAACGGCCAGCGUAAAAUAAUCUUCAGAAAUGUUUCUACCUAUGGAACCUUGUUAUUCAUACACUCACCAGUGAUCAGUUUGUGUCUUAGCCUGCUGGGGAGGCUUACUUACUCAUGUUCUGUGGUCUUCCAAGUAGAUAAAUAUAUGGCCCAAGUGUACUUUAUGGUUAGUGAUUGAACUUCAUAGUAAAUGGUAGCAUGUAAAAAUGUUAAGAUUUGAGUUGUGAUUUUUAUUGACUUUUAGCUUGUUUUCUUAGGCUUUGUUGCUUUUAUUAAAAUUAUCCUACAUUAAAGUAUGUUAAUAAACUGGUACUUUGGUACCUUAAGAGAAUAAAACAUGGGAAUGAACUGAAUCUUCAAAUGACACAUGAGUUUGUAAUAUGAGUUGAAAUUGAUGUAUCUGUGAGGUACUGGGGAUUAUGCUCAGAAUUUUUUUAUUCUAGACAUCUGAUCCACCACUGAGCUAUAAUCCCAGCAUCAGAAUGAAUAUUUUAAACCAACUACUAUUAGGACAUGUGUUACUUGGUAGCCCCUGUAAGCUUUUUGGUUUAGGGGUAUUGUGGUUUUUGGGGGGAUUUGUUUUGUUUUUCUUUAGCUUUCUGAGUUGUUGAACAACUACUGCUGUACCCUGUGUAGUGCCGAAUAGGUCCUAGAAUGUCUUCCACCGGGACAGCAGAUGACAAGCUCAGCCUGAUGCCUUUCUCAGCCUGCCCUUGUCUUGCCCAACACAGCUUAAGGCAAUCUGUUCGGACAACAAGUCAGGGUCUAAUGGAGCAUGUUACCUUUCUCCUAGUGACCUCCGGCCUUCUCCUGAAAGAGUCUUUUUGGAAUUGGAAAAAUACAGAGUUUUAAACAGA